UGGGUCAAUUAUGAGAAUGUGCCAUGAACCAAGUAAUACGAUUAAUCCAAUUCUGUGUACUGGAGGGUUAAA
rnacentral:snoRNA from 1 species